GACGAACGCUGGCGGCGUGCUUAACACAUGCAAGUCGAACGGAAAGGCCCUGCUUUUGUGGGGUGCUCGAGUGGCGAACGGGUGAGUAACACGUGAGUAACCUGCCCUUGACUUUGGGAUAACUUCAGGAAACUGGGGCUAAUACCGGAUAGGAGCUCCUGCUGCAUGGUGGGGGUUGGAAAGUUUCGGCGGUUGGGGAUGGACUCGCGGCUUAUCAGCUUGUUGGUGGGGUAGUGGCUUACCAAGGCUUUGACGGGUAGCCGGCCUGAGAGGGUGACCGGCCACAUUGGGCCUGAGAGACGGCCCAGACGCCUACGGGAGGCAGCAGUGGAGAAUAUUGCACAAUGGGCGGAAGCCUGAGGCAGCAGCGCCGCGUGCGGGAUGACGGCCUACGAGUUGUAAACCGCUUUCGCCGGUGACGAAGCGUGAGUGACGGUAAUGGGUAAGGAAGCACCGGCUAACUACGUG
rnacentral:rRNA from 1 species